UGAGAAAAUCAGACCAUGUCAUAACUGCUUUAAGUCAUACAGAACAGAUAUCAGAGCCUUAAACAGGCCGACUUCUGCUAAAUGGGUCAAACUGGGCAGAAACUAUACAAACACAUAACAUCCUUAUAGAAUAUGAUGUAACACUAUAGAUCAACUUAGCUCAGAAUAUAUAAAGCAUAUAAACAAUUACAGCAAUAUGAUGCAACAAACACAGCAGUACUACUAAUCCAAAAUACUCAAAGCUUCAUAGAACUGAAACAAACAUUUAUUUUUAGCUCCACUCUGCUGCUGAUACAUACUUUAGGUUUCUGAAUAUUAAACGUGUUGCUGCCUUUCAUAGUGUGUAACCUGAAGGCCCUGAGUACUUUCUCCCACACUGAAAACACUGGAAUGAUAACAUUAUUUGAACAUUACCUAAUAAGACUGAUUCAGCACAGACAAUUAGUUAUUUUAAACUUUUCUAGCAGUCCUUCACAAACAGGGAACAGUCUGUCUAUUCUCUCCAUCUGUCAGCUGCUGCUGGCUCUUCCUCCUCCUCUUCCUCACACACUGCUGAGUUUGUCCUGGUGGAUCAUCAGGGGUGCAAAGCCUCACAGAUGAUGUGCAGCAGUGGGUCCCUCAGUCUGUCCUCACUCUGGACACUUGCAGUUGUCACACAUGGAAAUCAACUGUGUGAUAAGCUGCAGGAUUCAAACACAAGUGUAACUUAUAAAUACAUGUUCAUACUUUUAUUCCACAAUCAGAGAGAAAGAAACAGAGAGAGUGUGCAGGACAGACAGACAGGUGACAGUCUCAGGUGUACACACUGCUACAAAACAGCACAAGAGAAGGAGGAUUUAGUGUUUGUGUUAUUACGAGUGCUGAACAAGAAGAGUUCCCAGAUGGUCCAGUGGACACAUGUGUGACAGUCUCAGGUGUACACACUGCUACAAAACAGCACAAGAGAAGGAGGAUUUAGUGUUUGUGUUAUUACGAGUGCUGAACAAGAAGAGUUCCCAGAUGGUCCAGUGGACACAUGUGUGACUCCUGUGAUUAAAGCAUCUUUCUUUCAGCUUAACGAAUGAACCGUCAGCUCGUUCAAACACACGUUAAAGUCCGUUUGGCUCGACACCACCGAACAGAGGCAGCAAUAUAACAUAGCUAACAUUAACAGUGCAGUGAAUCCUGCUUGUGCCGUUGUUGUGGCUUUAUGCAGUGUUGCUCCAACUGCCAGUUUAACGUGGGUUGCGGCCAAGGCCAACUUUUGAUAAAGCACAGAGGACUGAGACGAGGCAAUGGUGGAGGUCCGAACUUUUACUACCAACACUCGAAAACCCAAACACAUACAAUACCCCAGCGCCACCUACGGGUGGGAGGUAGUAAUAACUGCUGCUUAUUACAAUAUACCACAUCCUUCCUUUCCGAGAUAAAGAUACAACCUCUUAACUCCAAUAUCUUGUAACAUGAAUGUACCCUUUAAACCGCAGGAACAUUAUCAAUAUUAUAUUCAUGGGACAUUAGGUCAAACACACCUUAGAUUGCCUAUCACCUGAACAAUGCAAAUACAUAUCAGUGCAGUAUUUUGAAACAGACGAACACGUGACAAAUUGGAUGAGACAUGUCAAAAUGAACAUAUGAAACAUGACAUAUUUCGCUCUUUUCAACAAGACAGUUAUCUAACUUGUGCACAACAACUCAGGUACGGGGUAGAGCGAUUUUAAGUUUCCAAAUCACUUAGUCUCUAUAUCUGGCAGGGCGUAUUAUUGCUCGGCCACUGCGUGUGUAGCAUGUGGGUGUAUUGUCCAUACUUGCAGGACGAGGGUGUUGUGGAGUGUCACUUGCUGAUGGCGCAACUGGCUCUUCGGUGUGUUCAGACAGAUCAUCUGGGUCCAUGGAUGUAUCCUUAAACAGACUUGGGUGUAUUUUCCUCAGAUGUCUCCUGUUCCGCCUGAGCACCUCACCCUCUGGUGUUUGCACAGCGUAGGAGCGUGGUUCCUCUCGCUGAUGUGCUACAACAGCCGGCUCCCAACCGCGCCAUGUUUGCAUGUGCACAGUAUCGCCUGAGGUCAAAACAGGCAAUGGUCUUGCAUGCUGAUCAAAGUGGUAUUUCCUUUUUGACUGCAGUCCACGCACUUUAACGUGAAGGUUCUGUGGGGUUGACUGUCUCAACACAGCACUGGCGCAUGGCAGUGUGCUGCGGAGAACCCGCCCCAUCAACAUUUGUGCAGGUGACACACUCAGUCCUGUGACUGGAGUGUUCCUCAGAGAUAACAGCACUAGAUGUGGAUCCGCUCCAGUCGCGCCGCUUUUUAAGUGCAUGUUUAACAGUCUUUAUGGCUCGCUCCGCCAUUCCAUUCGAAGAAGGAAAGCCGGGACUGGAGAAAGUUAGCUUUAUCUCCCAGGAUGCUGCAAACGAUCUCAUCUCGUAGCUGGCAAAUGGAACAUGAUCGCUCACUAUCUCUUUGGGAAUUCCGUGUCUUGCAAAGACUGAUUUCAUCUUCUGAAUCACAGAGUGUGCCGUUUUGUCAGGUAAGUUAAGAACUUCUGGGUAUUUGGAUAAAUAAUCAACUAACAAAAGAUACGACUGACCGUUCAGUUC
ensembl:lncRNA